AUCUUAUCGAGAGUGGUGGAGGGACUGGCCCUCGGAAGCCACAGCAACCGGUCCGCCGGAGAAAAGGCGGAUGCUGGUGCUAAGUCCUCCAAGGUAGAAUGAGAGCCUUGGGAGAUAAGAU
rnacentral:ncRNA from 2 species